GACGAACGCUGGCGGCGUGCCUAACACAUGCAAGUCGAACGGAAAGGCCCUGCUUUUGUGGGGUGCUCGAGUGGCGAACGCGUGAGUAACACGUGAGUAACCUGCCCUUGUCUGUGGGAUAACUUCUGGAAACUGCGGCUAAUACCGCAUAGGAGCUCCUGCUGCAUGGUGGUGGAUGGUGAGUUUCGGCGGUUGGGGAUGGACUCGCGGCUUAUCAGCUUGUUUGUGGGGUAGUGGCUGACGAAGGCUUCGACGGGUAGCCGGCCUGAGAGGGUAGCCGGCGACCAUGGGCCUGCGGUAGGGAGCAGAAGGCUACGGUAGGCAGCAGGGGGGAGUCUUGCGGAGUGGGGGGAAGUGUGUUGCGGCAAUGCCGGGUGCGGGAUGACGGCCUAUGGGUUGUGAACCACUGUCGCCUGUGCCGAAGCGUGCGUGACGGUAAUGAGUAAAGAAGCACCGGCUAACUACGUG
rnacentral:rRNA from 1 species